ACUGACUUUGACUGAUUGUCUGACUGAUUGUGAAUUUGUGAUUUUGAUUUUGUAGAAAAUGUUAUCAUCACGGUCGUAGUAAAUAUAGUGUAGUUUCUGUCUUUAUUUUGAUAUGUAUAGUUAGUUUGUGGAGAUGAUAAUUUGGCAGUAAUUAGGAUUACAGACAGUAUUAAUGGCCAAAUUACCGAAUGGCUGGGUUCAGCUGGUACCUUUCUGAGGGCUUUCAAGUGAUAAUAGAGAAGUCAAAAGAUGCGAAAUGCAGCCUGAAAGAUGUACAGUUGCGUUUCUUGUGCCCUGAUGACUUGGAGGAGGUGAGGUCCUUAUGUAGAGACUGGUUCCCAAUAGAAUAUCCUCAAUCAUGGUAUGAGGAUAUCACAUCAUCAGAGAGAUUCUUCGCUCUUGCUGCAGUAUACAAGUCUCAGAUCAUUGGUCUAAUAGUCGCUGAGAUUAAACCAUACUUAAAAUUAAAUGCUGAGGACAGAGGAAUAUUGUCAAGAUGGUUUGCAUCGAAGGAUACACUUGUAGCAUACAUACUCUCUCUAGGUGUGGUCCGUUCUUAUCGGCGCUCCGGCGUAGCGACCAUGCUAUUAGAUGUGCUGAUCAAUCACCUGUCAGGGCCAGUGGCGCAGCCCCCCCAUGAGCACAGAGUUAAGGCAAUAUUCCUACAUGUACUCACCACCAACUCGGAAGCCAUAUUUUUCUAUGAGAAAAGAAGAUUCCGACUGCACUCAUUUCUACCAUACUACUAUUCUAUAAAGGGGCGCUGUAAAGACGGUUUCACAUACGUUUACUACGUGAACGGCGGACAUGCCCCAUGGGGACUGUACGACUACGUGAAGUACGUGGCACGAGCUGCGUGGCGCGGCGGCGGACUGUACCCGUGGCUGUGGGGCAAGCUACGCACCGCACUCACCAUAGCCUGGCACAGGUAGUGCAUACACGCCUUUAUGUUUAAGCGGGUACACAUUAACCACUAACAACUAGUCUUAUGUUCUAGCUACAGAUAUUUCUGAUUGGUUCUAUGUAAUUUUGGCUUUACUGUUACCUGUACAUAAUAUCCCUACUUUUUGUUUAUGAUAAGUCUGCCUAAGCUCCACUAGUAUCAAGUUUUUUAUUUCUUUAUCUUUUGACUGAUUCAUCAUUCAUUCCAUAUGCCGAAACCGACUUACCAUUUUUUUUUAAGUUUUUUUACAGUAACUUUCAAAUCAAUUUAUUAUCAUAUGUUAUGUUUAUUCCGCAUAUUUUUUCCGGAAGCAUUUCAAUCAUGUUUAUUCUAUUUCCAUGUCUAUUUCUUUUGUACCCAAGUGUCACUUCCUAUUCAACAAUUCAUGAAUGAUAUGGACAUAAAAACUAAUGCUUAGAAAUAAAAAAAAAUAUUCAUUUUGUUAGUAUAACAUUAGCUAUAGCCUAAUUAUUUCUCAGUAUUAUAAAAAGAAAGGAUUAAAAACACCAAUGCUGACAUAAUUCAUUUUUGUAUAUUAUGUAUAAAUUCAAUUUUAAAUUCACAAUUUUGUACUUUAAUUUUAUUAAAGAAUCAUAUUUGUAUAGUCGUGAAGACUACGCAAACAUGAUUCUUUAAUCAUGAAGUGUUGUAAAAUUUUAAUUAUACUGAAAACUAUUUUCUCUUCACUAACCCGCAGUUUAUAGAAUAUAACAAAUUUUAUUCAAAUUUGUACUGAUAAAAUUAUCAAUGACAAAAAGAAAAUGUAAAAAAGUAACUUUUACAGAGCAAUCACAUGUUUGUAGUGUAAAUAGAGAAUGUGUGCCCGUAUUUAGGUAUAUCGUUUACUUUCAUUGAUAGUGUGUGGGUAGUCUCAAUCAGUGUUGACAGAUUAAAUUCGAGUGAUGAGUGGCUUCAUUAAAUUAUUUUCAUUUAUAAUUUGUAUCUCGACAGAAGUACUUCUAAGAAAAAAGUCAUGCUGAGAUACAAAGAUAUUUAGAAUAAACCCAACAAGUGACUACAAUAACUCAUAUGCAUAAGGACCGGUGCGCAGAGGUGGUGGCGAAUGCCCCGCGACCUAAUAUUCAGUUGCUGUGUCAGUUUCACCGCUGUCAACAAGCCGAAGUAGCUUCGUCACGACUAAUCACCCCGUCGACGCGUCGACACCACCGCUGCCCUGACGCUAUGCGAUGUCACCUGUUUACAAUGCUGAAGGAACUAAAAAAUACUUAAAUCACAGAUACGGUUAUAGAUAGAUGCCGCAACUGGAUGUACUUUGCAUGACAGUUUAACAUUGCAUUUGAUUAUCUACAUUAACCUGGCAAAAUUUCAAUUCGCGAACAUAGGAGAAUUGAAAAAAAAACUAUUUUCGGAAUAAUUUAAUACGGACGAGGUUUACUAUGUUAUUAAUUUAUAGAGUAUAUAAAUUUUUCAUUUAAAUUCAAGUACAUGCUGCGUAUACAUCUAUGUCUGUGAUAUAAAUUGUUACAGAGGAUCGCCCAUCCUAGACUAAGAAAAGAUCUCGGGAUAAAAAGUACAAAUAUAAAAAAGUUUCAUAAAACAACAUGUCCACCAUCGUGUAUCUAAAACCGUGAUAUUAGAUAAUAUUAAUCGCUGUCGCUUUCUUGCUUAAAUAUCUAACACUACAAAAAUAGUAUUGUAUGCUUAGCGCUUACAGAAAUCAUCUGAAAUACCAAUUUCUUUUUCCUAACAUAUACUUGUACAGGUAAUGGGCAUCCUCUUCAGCAGUAACAUACAAAAAAAUUAAGAGUAAUUUUUAAACAAAGUAAUCCCUAAUGUUAGUUAUAAAUAUUUAAAUUGUCAACCUGGCUUGCUAUAUCCACAUCCAAUUUUUAUGGUGCCACUCUGGUGUGAUGCAAGUUUUCUCAUAUAACAACACUAAUGAGGCUAACAAAAUUAUUAAUAUUAAGUUACUCAGUAUGUAAAUGUAUAUAGUUCUAGAUAUUUCUUGUAACUCACAAUGAUUUUUUUCUUUUUUGUAACUAAUGUGUCACUAUAAAUUGCAUUUGAACAUAUUUUAGAUAUUAUUUAUAGAUAUUAAAUUUUUUUCACUAUUUACUGCAUUUUCAGAAAUUCCCACAAAACUUAGAGGUGCAGUUUAUAAGCAGUGAUUUACACGAGAGAAUUUUAAAGAAUAUCACUACAUUAAUUGAUUUGUGUAUUUGCACCACAAAUUAUGUAUUAUAACUAUAAUUGACAUUCUGACGCGAAGCCAUGUUGUCACAAUAAGAGGCACAUGUACAACAAACAAACCACAAAAAUUAUAAUACUCGUUUUUUUGUCCUUACUUAUAUAUUUUGUUUUUUAAGCCUUUUUCUAUAUCCUAUUCAAUAAAAAUGCUAAGUAACAAUAAUGGCGUCUUUUAGCCCAUGUUUAUACGACAUUGGCAGUUGUAACAUUUGUGUACGUGUAUUUAUGUAUCUUAUUAUGUCAAUUUGGCUUUUAAGGGAUAACUGACAAAAAUAUUUGUGAUAAUUUUUAGUACUCAAAGCUUUAAAUUAAAAUACAUACCUAUUGUACUUUUUCAUGAUUAUACGAUAUCGAGACACUUGAGCAGUCGCGAGAAGAACAAAUAAUGGCAUUUGAUUAAAAUGUUCGUUUCACUACAUACUGAUGGCAGUGUGUGUGCAGCAAGAAUUAUUAUGAACAUUGUUUGUGCCAUGGUUACUGCCAACAUAUUAAAAUAAGGUGCCUGAGUGUUCACUAUAAGUUGUAAUAUUGUGCAUUAACUUUGUUAUAAAAAAGAUAAACAUAAAGAGUCACAUUAUUUUAAUUUAUAACAUUAAUAUAAACAUACGAUUUAAUUUCAUUGUCCCCUAACUUGUAACACUUGAAUAUGUAACUGUAUAUACAUUAAAUUAUUUAAAUAAACCCGAUGUCCGUAGUCGUGUUGAUGUUACUCUUUGUAAACCAAAGUUAAUGUGUUUUCUUCAUUAUGUUAUGAUUUAUUUAAGUAUUACUUAUAUUGUUAAGUGUUUUAUUACAAUGAGUAUUAUUUUUGGACCAUUAUUUUAAAUUAAUAUUCCAGUGUUUUGUAUUAUCUUUUUUUUUUAA
rnacentral:misc_RNA from 1 species